CAAGAAGUAGUUUAAUUAGAAUCUCAGCUUUGGGUGCUGAUGGUGGGGGAUUAUCCUUCCUUCUUGA
rnacentral:tRNA from 1 species